UACAGGGGGGGCAAGGCGUUGUUCGGAAUUACUGGGCGUAAAGGGCUCGGUAGGCGGCCAACUAAGUCACACGUGAAAUCCCCAGGCCUUAACCUGGGAACUGCGUGUGAUACUGGAUGGCUUGAAUCCGGGAGAGGGAUGCAGAAUUCCAGGUGUAGCGGUGAAAUGCGUAGAUAUCUGGAGGAAUACCGGUGGCGAAGGCAGUGUCCUGGGGAGCAUCUGACGCUCAGGUGCGAAAGCUAGGGGAGCGAACGGAGU
rnacentral:rRNA from 1 species